GAUGAACGCUGGCGGCGUGCUUAACACAUGCAAGUCGAACGGAAAGGCUCCUGCUUGCAGGGGUACUCGAGUGGCGAACGGGUGAGUAACACGUGGGUGAUCUGCCCUGCACUUCGGGAUAAGCCUGGGAAACUGGGUCUAAUACCGGAUAGGACGAUGGUUUGGAUGCCAUUGUGGAAAGUUUUUUCGGUGUGGGAUGAGCUCGCGGCCUAUCAGCUUGUUGGUGGGUAAUGGCCUACCAAGGCGUCGACGGGUAGCCGGCCUGAGAGGGUGUACGGCCACAUUGGGACUGAGAUACGGCCCAGACUCCUACGGGAGCAGCAGUGGGGAAUAUUGCACAAUGGGCGCAAGCCUGAUGCAGCGACGCCGCGUGGGGAUGACGGCCUU
rnacentral:rRNA from 1 species